rnacentral:rRNA from 1 species
CGGUAAGUACGUUGCUCUGGAUUCAGCGGCGGACGAGUGAGUAAUGCUUAGGAAUCUGCCUAUUAGUGGGGGACAACGUUCCGAAAGGAGCGCUAAUACCGCAUACGUCCUACGGGAGAAAGCAGGGGACCUUCGGGCCUUGCGCUAAUAGAUGAGCCUAAGUCGGAUUAGCUAGUUGGUAGGGUAAAGGCCUACCAAGGCGACGAUCUGUAGCGGGUCUGAGAGGAUGAUCCGCCACACUGGGACUGAGACACGGCCCAGACUCCUACGGGAGGCAGCAGUGGGGAAUAUUGGACAAUGGGGGGAACCCUGAUCCAGCCAUGCCGCGUGUGUGAAGAAGGCCUUUUGGUUGUAAAGCACUUUAAGCGAGGAGGAGGCUACCUGGAUUAAUACUUUAGGAUAGUGGACGUUACUCGCAGAAUAAGCACCGGCUAACUCUGUGCCAGCAGCCGCGGUAAUACAGAGGGUGCGAGCGUUAAUCGGAUUUACUGGGCGUAAAGCGUGCGUAGGCGGCCAAUUAAGUCAAAUGUGAAAUCCCCGAGCUUAACUUGGGAAUUGCAUUCGAUACUGGUUGGCUAGAGUAUGGGAGAGGAUGGUAGAAUUCCAGGUGUAGCGGUGAAAUGCGUAGAGAUCUGGAGGAAUACCGAUGGCGAAGGCAGCCAUCUGGCCUAAUACUGACGCUGAGGUACGAAAGCAUGGGGAGCAAACAGGAUUAGAUACCCUGGUAGUCCAUGCCGUAAACGAUGUCUACUAGCCGUUGGGGCCCUUGAGGCUUUAGUGGCGCAGCUAACGCGAUAAGUAGACCGCCUGGGGGAGUACGGGUCGCAAGACUAAAACUCAAAUGAAAUUGAACGGGGGGCCCGCACAAAGCGGUGGGAAGCCAAUGGUGGGUUUUUAAA